UCCGUAGGUGAACCUGCGGAAGGAUCAUUAACACGCCAAAAAGAGGGCGACGCAAGAAGCCCCUCCGCUAGUCGGAGACACCGUGAAACGUUCAAGUCCGUAACCUCUCACGAGGUUCCGUAAGCACCUUUUGAACCGACGUAGACUGAGUGAAAAAAGAAAAAAAUACAGACACAACUUUUAACAACGGAUAUCUUGGCUCUCGCAACGAUGACGAGCGCAGCGAAAUGCGAUACGUAGUGUGAAUUGCAGAAUUCAGUGAAUCAUCGAAGCCUUGAACGCACACUGCGCCUGCAAGUCCUCUUGCAGGCACGCCUGUUCGAGUGCCGACCCAUCAUCACCCAAAGGCCGCCUCGGCGGCUGGAGCGUGGAGCAGGGCGACCGGCCUUUAAACGCCGGUCACCCUAAACCUCUCGCGAGGGGGCACCAUAGCGAGGACGGGAAGCCAAUCAAUCGCGGGGGAGAAGAUAGUAAAGUGCCUCUUUUGGCGCGAGAAAAACUUCCACCCUGCCGGCCUCCGCUUUAAACGUCCUCAACGCUCGGCGCCCUUCCACUCGCGUGGUAGAACCUUCCGAAGGGAAGACUCAAAAACCUUCGGCCUCGAAUCAGGCGAGAACACCCGCUGAACUUAAGCAUAUCAAUAAGCGGAGGA
rnacentral:rRNA from 1 species